GACGAACGCUGGCGGCGUGCCUAAUACAUGCAAGUCGAGCGAAUGGAUGGGAGCUUGCUCCCUGAAGUUAGCGGCGGACGGGUGAGUAACACGUGGGCAACCUGCCUGUAAGACUGGGAUAACUUCGGGAAACCGGAGCUAAUACCGGAUACAUUCUUUCUUCGCCUGAAGAAAGAUGGAAAGAUGGUUUCGGCUAUCACUUGCAGAUGGGCCCGCGGCGCAUUAGCUAGUUGGUGAGGUAACGGCUCACCAAGGCAACGAUGCGUAGCCGACCGGAGAGGGUGAUUGGCCACACUGGGACUGAGACACGGCCCAGACUCCUACGGGAGGCAGCAGUAGGGAAUCUUCCGCAAUGGACGAAAGUCUGACGGAGCAACGCCGCGUGAGCGAAGAAGGCCUUCGGGUCGUAAAGCUCUGUUGUUAGGGAAGAACAAGUACCAGAGUAACUGCUGGUACCUUGACGGUACCUAACCAGAAAGCCACGGCUAACUACGUGCCAGCCGCCGCCGUAACAC
rnacentral:rRNA from 1 species